UACAGAGGGGGCAAGCGUUAUUCGGAAUUAUUGGGCGUAAAGGGCGCGUAGGCGGCCAUUCAAGUGACGGGUGAAAGCCCUCGGCUUAACCGAGGAACUGCCUGUCAGACUGGAUGGCUUGAGACCGGGAGAGGUGAGUGGAGUUCCCAGUGUAGCGGUGAAAUGCGUAGAUAUUGGGAGGAACACCAGUGGCGAAGGCGGCUCACUGGACCGGAACUGACGCUGAGGCGCGAAAGCUAGGGGGGCAAACAGG
rnacentral:rRNA from 1 species